AAUCCAUAGGUUAAUGAGGCGAACCGGGGGAACUGAAACAUCUAAGUACCCCGAGGAAAAGAAAUCAACCGAGAUUCCCCCAGUAGCGGCGAGCGAACGGGGAGGAGCCCAGAGCCUGAAUCAGCAUGUGUGUUAGUGGAAGCGUCUGGAAAGGCGCGCGAUACAGGGUGACAGCCCCGUACACAAAAGCGCAUGUGCUGUGAGCUCGAUGAGUAGGGCGGGACACGUGGUAUCCUGUCUGAAUAUGGGGGGACCAUCCUCCAAGGCUAAAUACUCCUGACUGACCGAUAGUGAACCAGUACCGUGAGGGAAAGGCGAAAAGAACCCCGGCGAGGGGAGUGAAAAAGAACCUGAAACCGUGUACGUACAAGCAGUGGGAGCACAGGUUUACCUGUGUGACUGCGUACCUUUUGUAUAAUGGGUCAGCGACUUAUAUUCUG
rnacentral:rRNA from 3 species